rfam:Hordeum vulgare subsp. vulgare, WGS project CAJW01000000 data, contig: morex_contig_135224
CUUAUACUCCCUCCAUCCCAAAAUUCUUGUCUUGAUUUGUCUAGGUAUGAAUGUAUCUAGUCACGUUUUGGUAUUUACAUACAUCCAUUUCUAGAUAAACCUAAGAUAAGAAUUUUGGGACGGAGGUAGUAUAUA